rnacentral:lncRNA from 1 species
GGAGUUCAAGAUCAAAGAAAAAGAUGGAUCUUCUUUCUUGCACAGCCUUGAAGAAGGAGUUCUUCUUUCAGAUUUUUUUUAAUUUUUUAAAAUAAAAAUUAGAUUAGAUAUAAUUUUUUAUAUAAAAAUUUAGAAAAAAAAUAUCAAAAAAAUUUGAUUGGAUAUUUGGGGCUUCUUAGAGUUCUAGAUCAAGAAGAAAAAGGGAGAAG